GCCGGUGUGAUGGAAUUGGUAGACGUAGUGGACUCAAAAUCCACCGCUGGCAACAGCAUGCCGGUUCGAGUCCGGCCACCGGCACCA
rnacentral:tRNA from 1 species